CACACAAACCUGUUGAGAAAUGUGUGUAUUGCUGCCAUAUCACAAUGUUUUCAAUUAUUUCUAAAGUCCUUUAAAUCCUUUAAAUCAUAGCAACUAUGAGGAAUGGUCUGUUAGCCAAUGGAAACACUGAAUGGGUUUGGACUGGAAUGUGUUCGUCAGAGGGAAAAGUCUUGUAAUAGUUGCAUCAGAUAAUAUGUAUGCUGAAAUGGAUGGCUGCAUAUCUUGCAAACUUAAGGCUAUGCAACUCGGUGUUAAGGUAGAAGAACAGGUUAACAGGAACAGAAGCUGCAACUGAACCUUAGAAGUCUUAAGUAUGGUCUUAAAUAGAGUUUAUUGUUGAAGUCCAUACGUUUGGAUUCUGAUUCUAAAUUGUGCAGUAAGAAGUUCGUGAUCUGAACUACAGUCAGCUCCAGGUCUUGUUUUCACUGACUGGAUGGAUGUCCACCACCUUUGGCUGCAAAGGAUGUAGUCAAUCUGAUUUUGGUGUUGACCAUUUGGUGAAGUCCAUGUAUAAAGCCAUCUUUUGGAUUGUCGGAAGAGAGUGUUUGUUAUGCACAGUAAGUUUUCCUGGCAAAAUUCUAUCAGCCUAUGUUCUGGUUCAUUUUGUUGUCCCAAACCAUGCUUGCCUGUGAUCCAUUUGUUGUCAUUUGACUGCCCAUCUUAGCAUUCCCAUCUCCUGGUGUAUUAGGUGCUGCAGAUCCUCAUAGAACUGAUCUAAUUCUGCUUCUUCAGCAGUUGUGGUUGGGGCGUAUAUUUGGAUCACUGUGAUAUUAAACAGCUUGCCUUGAACUCAAAUUGGGAUCAUUCUAUCAUUUUUUGGGUUGUAUCCAAGCACUGCUUUAGCAACUUUGUUAUUAAUUAUGAAAGCUACUCAAUUUCUUCGGUGUACCUCUUGUCCACAGUAGUAGAUCUGGUGGUGAUCUGUUGUGAAGUGGCCCAUUCCAGUCCAUUUCAAUUCACUGACACCCAGAAUGUCUAUCUUUAAUCUUGACAUCUCACCAAUAACCCUGGCUCAUAGAUCUUUGCUCUGGCUCAUAGAUCUUACAUUCCAGGUUCCUAUAGUGUGUUGAUCUUUAGAACACUGGAUUUGUCGUUCACCUCCAGCACCGUCAGCCGUUAGCCUUCCUUUCAGCUUUGAGCUAACUGCAUCAUCACAUCUAGGGCUAGUUGGACUAGUCCUCUGUUCCUCCCCAGUAGCAUUUUGAUCAUCUUCCGACCUGGGAGUCCUAUCUUCUGAUGGUAUUCCAACAUUUCUCUGGUUGUACUGAUCCAUUUAGUUUUCAUGGCAAGAUCGUAUUUAGUCUGACCUCUCUGCCAUGACCUUCCCGUCUUGGGUGCCCCUUCACGGUUUAGCUCAUGGCAUCAUUGAGGCGUGCAAGCCCCAGCACCAUGUUAAGGUAACGAUCCUUUGCAUAUCACUCUAUUACUACAUUACUGUGUGGUAUUGCUAUUUCUAUUGUGUAAAUAUAUUUUGAAUUUAUUCUCCUCCCCCACUUGACUUUCUUGUAUAACUUUGAAUAAAAUAUUCCUGCACUGCA